CGGAGAGCAGGCUGCCAGAGGGAGCAGCAAUGACCCCAAACAAUGGUUCUGAAGCGUUAAGGCGCUCUGUCCAUGGUUCCCUGGAGAAGUUUGCUGCAUGUGCAGAUUCUAGCUUCCCAGUGUACACAGUGACCUAGACUACAGUGUAGGAUGACCUCUCUGUCCAUCAAGAUCAUAAUAAAAUUAGAGGCUAAAACUACAAAAGGAGAUCAAACCAGUCAAUCCUAAAGGAAACCAAUCAUGAACAUACAAAGGACUGAUGCUGAAGUUCCAGUACUUGGGCCAGCUGAUGUGAAGAGCCAACUUAUUGGAAAAAACCCUGAUGCUGGAAAAGACUGAGAGCAGAAGAGGGUGAAAGGACAUGAGAUGGCUGGAUGGCAUCAUCGACUCAAUACACCUGAGUAUGAGCAAAUUCUGGGAGAUAGUGAACAACAAGGAAGCCUAGCUUCAGUCCAUGUGGUCAUAGCAACUGAGCGAAUGAACAACAUUUAUGAUAAAUACUAUUUAUAAACAGUAAGUUAGAAGUAAGUAAGUAACUUAGAAACACAUAAGAUCAUUCAUUAUUAAAUUCUCAUGUUGUCAAGCCAGGUCAGACUAUACCUCUCUCACAAUAAAAUUUCUUUAAAGGAGUUGUCUGUGAAAACAGAUUUGUGAUUGUCAGGGGACACGGUGGAGGAAGGAGUCGACUACAAGAAGCUUCAUAGCAAAUUUCUGGGAGGUAUAGAACUACAUCUCGAUUGCACUGGUAAAUACAUGGCUAGGCAGGUAAAAAUUGUACAUCCAAAGAGUAAAAUUUAAGUUUUGUAUGACGUGUCUGCUUCCCUGGUGGCUCAGUGGUAAAGAAUAAAUAUGCCUGCUAAUACAGAGGACAAUCCCUCGGUUAGGAAGAUCCCCUAGAGAAAGAAAUAGCAACCCACUUGAGUAUUCUUGCCUGGGAAAUCCCAUGGACAGAGGAGCCUGGCAGACUACAUGGAGUCUCAAGAGUUGGACACAACUUAACGACUAAACAACAUGAUGUCUCCACAAUUUGUCUUUCCAUUCUCUCUUCAAUCGCCUUAUAAAGUCUUAUGCCCCCUCCAUUAUGAAAACCUACCCUUGACCCCAAUGAACUCCACACCUGCUACUGCCUAAUAAACAUUUCUCAAAGUGGAUGUCUUAAGGAACUUAUAUUAACAUAUCCACAACUCAGCUGUGAUAUUCACCCCAAACCUUUGUUCCUUCUAUUUUCUUUCCCCAUCACUGUUCCUAUAAAUUCCUAGCCAAAACUUUGGUGACAUCAGUGAUUUCUCUCUCAGCCCUCACAAAGAUCUGGAAGAAAACAUGUCUGCAUUAACUUCAAAAUACAACUACUAUUCACCACUCCCACUGUCACCUCCCUGGUCCAUCCCCCAAUUCAGAGUAAAAACUAAAGAUACACAGUAUCUUAACAUGCUCUGUAUGUGUUCAACCUGUCCAUCUUCUCUGAGGCCAUCUAUUUUCCACUAGUACCCGUGAUACUCACAGUAUUUCAUAGUAAGAUCUUAACAAAUAUAUAUUGAGAAAAUAGAUUUUCCUAAACUGGACUCUAGGAAAGAAUUUAUCACAAGUCACAUUAUCAACAACAAAUAACAAACCAAUUCAUCAUUUAACUGGAAAGCCAGUAGGCUUCAGCUCCCCUUUUUCUAGUUUUAUAAAAACUACUGGGAGUUUUCCCCUAAGAAAAUUAGUUUAUUAUUGAAAAAAGCUCAAUAAUAAUUUAACCACAAAACUGAAUCCUUUUUCAAGCUACUGAUUACAAUAUAAAAAUAAGAUCUCGUGCCUAUAAUGUAUGUAAUUUAAGACUAUUAUGCCAUGCUUCCUGUAAGGACAUCACAAUUUUCCAUUGAUGAGCUCCUGCUAUUAUACAUUUUGUACUCUAUCAAUCUGUUGUUCCUCUUGCUGAACUAUUCUAUAUCAUAGUAAUAAGAUACUUAUCCCUGUAAAAUAUAAGUCCUGGAAAAGAAAUUUAUCCACCUAAGUAAGUCAAAUUCUAUUUGGUGGACUUCAUUUCUUGUUCCUCUGAUUAUAGUUUAAGAGGGUAUCAAAGUAUGUGUUAGUUGCUCAGUCAUGUCCAACUCUUUGUGACCCCAUGGACUGUAGCCUGCCAGGCUUCUACAUUCAUGGGAUUUUACAGGCAAUGAUACUAGAGUGGGUUGCCAUUUCCUUCUCCAGGGGAUCUUUCUGACCCAGGGAUUGAACCCAGAUGUCCUGCAUUGCAGGCAGACUUUCUACAUCUGAGCCACCAGGGAAGUCCUUGCGUAAGUAUAAUCUUAUCCUAUUUAUCAAAAGGAUAUCGCCUCUUUUUUUCCUUGAAAAAUAACAUUAGUUUCCUGGAUAUUCUUUCAACAUUGUCAGCUUGUCCUAAAACUAGUCUGGGUUCCCUAACUUCUGAACAGCAGUCCUUGGUCCUUUUAUUUCUUAUACUUAGGACUAACUUUGUAGCACUUUAAGAUCUGCAAUAUCAAAUCAAGUAAUAACUAGCCACAUGUGGCUAUUUAAAACAAAUUUAAAAUUCAGUUCGGCAGUUACAUUAGCCACAUUUUCCAUAUGUGGCUGUCUAUGACACCAAUAGUGCAGAUACAGAAU